GGGGUUUUUGUGAUGUAGAAUGGAUUAUGGAUGGUGUAGGGGCACGGCAAGGCUUGGGGGUAGUGUAUGGGUGUUGUGUGGAAGGUGUGGAGAUGAAGAAUGGUGGUGGAAAUCGGCAGAGAUGGAGGAGGACUGGUUUCUUGAGGUUGUGGAUGGGUUUUGACGAAUUUGGGAGAGUGUGUGGCUGAAUGGAGAUGUUUGUGGCUGCACAAACAUGUUUAUUUAAAGGGAUUAGGAAAUUAAAAACCCUAGACUAAUUAGGUAAUCAGGAAUUAAGUUUAAAGCUUCUAGAAUUAAGGAAACAAAUCAGAAAAUUAAAGGAAAUAGCAAGGGAAAUUCGGCUAGGGUUAAAAACACAAAAGGAAAGUGUUUUAAAGCCUAGAAUCAGGAAAUAAGAAAGAGGAAAUACCAAGGGGGGUGCGGCAAGGGUUCAAAAGGUGCAAGAAAUGUGUAUUUGAUGUCCUAGAAUGCUUAGGAAGUCUUCAUAAUUGCUGGAACUUUUAGGGACAAUUAGGAAAAAAAUCAAACCAAAGUAGGAAUCCUUGUUCUUCUAGGAAUCCUCAUGUGAUUAGGAAUCCAUCUUCAAUUAGGAAUCCUUCGUUGAUUAGGAAUCCUUCGUCGAUUAGGAAUCCUCCUUCAUGUAAGCACUUUCCUACUUCAACUAGGAAACCUUGUUCAAGUAGGAAUCAUCAUCUUCAAGUCUUCAAAUUCGUCCAAACCUUGGCUCCAAUUAUGUGAUAAUCAUUCCAAGCCCAAUUUUGCUCCAAAAAGUUCCAAAAUGCAUCUUCUUGCAUCCUUUGGCCUUAAAACCUGAAAACACAUAAAACUAGCUUAAAAGACUACUUUAACUAAGAAAACACCAUGGAAAUGCAUAAGAACUAGCUAACUAAGGCGCAUAAAUAUGCUCCUAUCAGU
rnacentral:lncRNA from 1 species